AGGCGAGUUUGGGAAUUGUAAAUUUGUUGCACUGCCUAUGGUGGGGGUAGACAGAUCCAAAAAUUUUUUCUGAUCGAUUUUGAUAUAUGGAACGUCAAAAUCGGAGUUCGUAGGCGAAAGUUAUGGCUGUUUUACGAUCAGACUACGAAUUAGAGGACAAAACGGUCCGGAAGUAGGAAAAAUUUGCGGUGGUGGCGAGAAAUUGAUGGAAACAGUGAGAAAAAACACACAAACUGGACUCAAACAAGACCUAACUAGUAACAAGCCCUCGGCCAGGACACAAACUCAAAACUACGGAUUCUGAAACUGAAAUAUGCCAAGGCUAUGGCGCGAAUGGGUUGUAGGACAUGAAAACAAUAUGGCACUAGACUUAUCAGACGAACACAAGGACACUCGAAAAUAAGGGUAGAUGUGAACCUAACGGUAUGUCUGAUGCUUUGAUUACCAAUUGAGGAGAACAAGUGUGGCCCGAUAUUCCGAAAGGUUCUGGUAACUAUCGAUUUGGUGGAAACGAGACACAAAUCAAUCCAGCUUGCGAACAACACGAUUCGAAACCCUACAAUUCUUUUUAUUUUUUUUGAUAUUUUUCUUUUACUUAGGAGCACUCAAGAAGUAACCACAGGAAAUUUGAGCUUAAACAAGUGAAAGACCUGACCUGUGGAAAGUUUUGAAAAUUGCUAAAAAUAUGAAAAAAAGUUUUGGAGGUGAAAACUCAAACUUUAGAGGCGAAUUUGGGGAUUCUAAAAUUGUCAAACCCGCACACGGUGGGGAUAGACAGAUCAGAAAAUUUGGUUUGAUCGAUUUUAAUAUAUGGAACGUCAAAAUCGGAGCUCGUAUGCGAAAAUUAUGGCUGUUUUACGAACGGACACCGAAUUAGAAGACAAAACGGUCCGGAUGUGGGAAAAACUUGCGGCGGUGGCUAGAAAUUGAUGGAAACGGUGGGAAGAAACACACAAAUUGGACUCUAACAAGACCUAACCAGUAACAAGACCUCGACCAGGACACAAACUCAACACUACGGACUCAGAAACUGAAAUAUGCAAAGGCUAUGGCGCGGAUGGGUUGUAGGAUAUGAAAACAAUAUGGCACUAGACUUGUGAGACGAACACAAGGACACUCGAAACUAAGUGUAGAUGUGAACCUAACGGUAUGUCUGAUGCUUUGGUUACCACUUGAGGAGAACAAGUGUGGCCCGAUCUUCCGAAAGGUUCUAGUAACUAUCGAUUUGGUGGAAACGAGACACAAAUCAAUCCAGCUUGCGAACAACACGAUUCGAAACCCUACAAUUAUUUUUAUUUUUUUUUGAUAUUUUUCUUUUACUUAGGAAACUCAUGAAGUAACCACACGAAAUUUGAGCUUAAACAAGUGAAAGACGUGGCCUGUAGAAUUUUUUGAAGAUUGCAAAAAAUAUAAAAAAACUUUAGGAGGUGAAAACUCAAAUUUCAGGGGCAAAUUUGGGGAUUCUAAAUUAUCGAACCCGCCUCUAGCGGAGAUAUAUAGAUCCAAAAAUUUGUUCCGAUCGAUUUUGAUAUAUGGAACGUCAAAAUCGGAGUUCGUAUGCGAAAGUUAUGGCUGUUUUACGAACGGACUCCGAAUUAGAGGACAAAACGGUCCGGAAGUGGGAAAAAUUUGCGGUGGUGGCUAGAAAUUGAUGGAAAUGGUGGGAAAAAACACACAAACUGGACUCUAACAAGACCAAAUCAGUAACAAGACCUCAACCAGGACAGAAACUUAACACUACGGACUCUGAAACUGAAAUAUGCAAAGUUUAUGGCGUGGAUGGGUUGUAGGACAUGAAAACAAUUUGGCACUAGACUUAUGGGACGAACACAAGGACACUCGAAACUGAGGGUAGAUGUGAACCUAAUGGUACGUCUAAAGCUUUGAUUACCACUUGAGGAGAACAAGGCCCGAUCUUGUGAAAGGUUCUGGUAACUAUCGAUUUGGUGGAAACGAGACGCAAAUCAAUCCAGUUUGCGAACAACACGAUUCGAAACACUGCAAUUCUUUUUAUUUUUUAUGAUAUUUUUCUUUUACUUAGGAGCACUCAAGAAGUAACCACAGGAAAUUUGAACUUAAACAAGUGAAGGACGUGGCCUGUGGAAUUUUUUGAAGAUUGCGAAAAAUAUGAAAAUAAAGUUUAGGAGGUGAAAACUCAAAUUUUCAGAGGCAAGUUUGGGAAUUCUAAAUUUGUCGCACCCGCCUAUGGCAGGGAUAGACAAAUCCAAAAAUUUUUUCUGAUUGAUUUUGAUAUUUGGAACGUCAAAAUCGGAGUUCGUAUGCGAAAGUUAUGGCUGUUUUACGAACGGACUCCGAAUUAGAGGACAAAACAGUGCGGAAGUGAGAAAAAUUUGAGGCGGUGGCUAUAAAUUGAUGGAAACGGUGGGAAGAAACACACAAAUUGGACUCUAACAACAAAUAACCAGUAACAACACCUCGACCAGGGCACAAACUCAACACUACGGACUCUGAAAACUGAAAUAUGCAAAGGCUAUGGCGCGGAUGGGUUGUAGGACAUGAAAACAAUAUAGCACCGGACUUAUGGGACGAACACAAGGGCACUCGAAACUAAGGGUAGAUGUGAACCUAACGGUAUGUCUGAAGCUUUGAUUACCACUUGAGGAGAAUAAGUGUGGCCCGAUCUUCCGAAAGGUUCUGGUAACUAUCAAUUUGGUGGAAACGAGACACAAAUCAAUCCAGCUUGCGAACAACACGGUUCGAAAACUUGCAAUUAUUUUUAUUUUUUUUGAUAUUUUUCUUUUACUUAGGAGAACUCAAGAAGUAACCACACGAAAUUUAAGCUUAAACAAGUGAAAGACGUGGCCUGUGGGAUUUUUUGAAGAUUGCGAAAAAUAUAAAAAAAACUUUAGGAGGUGAAAACUCAAAUUUCAGGGGGGAAUUUGGGGAUUCAAAAAUUAUCGAACCCGCCUCUAGCGGUGAUAGACAGAUCCAAAAAUUUGUUUUGAUCGAUUUUGAUAUAUGGAACGUCAAAAUCAGAGUUCGUAAGGAAAAGUUAUGGCUGUUUUACGAACGGACUCCGAAUUAGAGGACAAAACGGUCCGGAAGUGGGAAAAAUUUGCGGUGGUGGCUAGAAAUUGAUGGAAACGGUAGGAAAAAACACACAAACUGGACUCUAACAAGACCAAAUCAGUAACAAGACCUCAACCAGGACACAAACUCAACACUACGGACUCUGAAACUGAAAUAUGCAAAGGCUAUGGCGCGGAUGGGUUGUAGGACAUGAAAACAAUAUGGCACUAGACUUAUGAGACGAACACAAGGACACUCGAAACUAAGGGUAGAUGUGAACCUAACGAUAUGUCUGAUGAAUUGAUUACCACUUGAGGAGAUGCCCCUGCUUCACCAACUCCGAAGCCCUAGAUCAUCUUCCUUGUGACGAGAUGGCCAUCAACUUCACCGUUCCUGAGGUCAGUUCUUCAUCCCACCUUUUGUGCCUUUUCUCGCAUCCCUGUUCAUCCGCAAUUCAUUUUACUAAACAUUUUCCUUUUUUCUUUUUGUUCUUGUUCUUCCUUAUAUACCCAAAACCAUUAGGAUUUGUCCAACAAAAUUGUCAUCACCACCGAUCAACCACACCUCCAAUGCCCUGGCCUGUUAGGGAAUCCAGAUCCAACCGACCUCAUUAACGCAGAAACCAACAGGAUCCCUUUUAGAGCCGAAAACUUUUCUUUGGAUCUAUGGAAGGAUACUUUCCGUUCUUGGCCCAGUCCUACCGUGGGAUGGACGGAUUGGUUCUUGAGGGUCAGCCACUCAAAUGAAGUCCAGUGGGGGGAGAGAAAACUAGACCAAUGCAUCAGGCUGUCUAUUGCCGAUAUGCAUAGAAAUGAGUCAUUGCUGGUAGCUGCAUCAUACUUCUGGUCAGACAUGCUCAACGCCUUUGUCUUUGGCCAUGGCCCUACUUCCCCUACUCUUGCCGAUGUAGCUCUGCACACUGGCCUAGAUGUAUCUUCUGCCGAUAGCACCCAUUUUUUCGACACCAAGCCCAGUGCCAAGGUAGAAACUCGUUCCAUCGGCGGUUGGUCAGGGUAUAUUCAGAAAUAUAAACGAACUGGCCCUGUAAACAUAAAGGAGCAGACCAACUUUCUGAACAUGUGGCGGGACAAAUUCGUGUUUUGCGGCCGAUCGGCAGGACCAUCCUCCGUCUAUUUAGCAGCAGCAGAAAACUUAGCUAAUGGUGGCCGAUUUCCCCUCGGCCGAUACCUGCUUGGUGCAGCCUACCACCUCCUUCACCAAGUGACUAGGAAACUCUUACUCGGCCGAUACCCUAAACCCUAAACCCUAAACCUUGUAUGAAGGCUUGACCAAAGAGGAACGAGCAUGGUUGGCUUAUGACGAUCCAGACACCAUGUUUCCUCUAGUUUUCAACCCGUUCAAUGAUGCUCUUGACACGGAUCACGAAGUGAAGAUGGCACUGGUCACUCCCAGAGCUAUACCAGUGAAUUUCUUUGGUAGUGGGAAAACCUCCAUCCAGACCUAUGAGUUUUAUAACACAUCGGCAUUAGCUCGUCAAUUAGCUUUCGGCCAGCUGCCGAUUGCACUCUGUUAUGCCGAUGUGAUAAAACCCAGGGAAGCCAUCACUAGCCUUCAUGAAUGGAUUCGAGUGGCCCAACUGCCAUCAAGUGCCAAUACAGAUGUAGACCUGUCAGAGUGGGUUCCAGCCGCCUUCAUCACUCAGGCAUACAAGCAAUGGUGGGCAGAAUGGAAGGAACAUCUGUUCUGCAGAUCGGAUCUCACGUAUCGCGGAAUGAUCGACCCCGAGUACAAGGUUCCCGAUGACACUGUAAGUAUCUUUGAACCGAUGUUUCAAUUUUCUCAUUUUUACUUUCAUCGGUGAUUUACCUUUGCAUCAUCUUGCAGGUUGACAACACCCCUCCAUCGGUCAGCAGGAGUGGCAAGCCGAUUGACCUGUUUCCAUCAGGCCCAAUCUCCUUAAUCGGCAACAACGCUCCUACCCUGGCCGCCAUCAUGCAUCGAGGUGUACGCCUCAAGAAGGUCAUCACUAGGAGGACUCAGAUAUCUCCAUCGGUAGCUGCUUCCACCUUGGCACAGGCAUUCAAGGUAAUUGUUAAACCUUUUCAUUCAUACCGAUUCUUAUCACUGGGCGUGCCAAAAGAUGUGUUGGUGCAAAAGCUGAUCUGCAAACACAAAGGGCUAAUACCCGAUUUAAACGUUAAGGCGUGCCAACCGAUUUGACCUUACUAUCGGCAAAGGUAGUAACUCGAAUACUUUGGUCCCGACAACAGCGAUGCGCUCGGAUGUCACGGCCAAGAGGUAUUCACGCGGAACUUGAGAAUACGCCGAGCUUAAGUCGACGAAUUCCUAAGAACUCGUAACGAAAAGGAAAAAGUAUGACGAAGUCGUCGAAAAAGUAGAUGAAUGGAAUAUGAGUAAAAAUGUGUGUUUGAUUGAUUGAUUGAUAUCUUCAUUACAAGGAGACACGACUAGAAUUCGAAUUCAAAUUUAAACAGAAUCCGUGUACAAAACGAUCUAAAUAACUAAGGAAAACAUAAAACCAUCCUCACGUGACAAACCAGAACAUCCCCACCAGCCGAUCGGCAAUUUCCAGGUUCUCCCUCUGUAUCACCGGCAGACUCCUUUGUCAUAGCCAUCGGCACAAACACAUCAUCACCUAUGGACUUGGUCACGUUCAACCAUCCUUCCAUCGGCAACCAUCUUCAUCGGCAACUCACCCUGUAGAUCAAGCACCACCGUCCUAUUUUGACGAUUUACACUUUACCGAUCAUGGACACGUGCCCAAAAACGGUGUCAACACAUGCCCCCCAAUUUCGGAGUAUGAGAUCAUUAAUGCUCCGAAAUUCUCUGCAGUAAUGAUGCCUUUUCCGCAAUUAGUGCUCCCAAUCUGGUAACCGACAUCCUUAAUCUGAACAACUCUGAUCCUAUUCCUCUGCAGGUUCCUCGAAAUCCUCAACUUCCCCAAACGGACAUUUCCACUUUAGUCGCACAUCGGCAAUAUUACCGUUACAGGGACUUGCCGAUGGACGUCCAUAUCUUAUCCUUUCAAACGGCUAUCUCCACGUUACUCGCCCAUCGGCAAUAUGACCGUUACAAGGCGCUGCCGAUGGACCGACUAGGAGAUCUCGCACAGUGAAAUAUCUAUGGAUAAUGACCGCUUCCUGUCAAAUCGGCUGCACAAUCCCUUGAUUACCGUGCGAACAGUUACCAUAUCUACCUGAGUACCCUCAGAUUUCACGGAUACGGCGAAGAGAUAAGUCAGAUUUGCCCUUGCCCGUUUUGUCCUAUAAAUAGUUCCUUCUCGGGUACUCCUUCUCCAUCACAUCAUUCCACGGUUCCAACUCCACUCUCCCGGCGACGGCGCUGUCCAAGAGCUCAAAGAUCUCCAACGAAGCCCCUGCUUCACCAACUCCGAAGCCCUAGAUCAUCUUCCUCGUGACGAGAUGGCCAUCAACUUCACCGUUCCUGAGAUCAGUUCUUCAUCCCAACUUUUGUGCCUUUUCUCGCAUCCCUGUUCAUCCGCAAUUCAUUUUACUGAACAUUUUCCUUUUUUCUUUUUUGUUCUUGUUCUUCCUUAUAUACCCAGAACCAUUAGGAUUUGUCCAACAAAAUUAUCAUCCCCACCAAUCAACCACACCUCCAAUGCCUUGGCUCGUUAGGGAAUCCAGAUCCAACCGACCUCAUUAACGCAGAAACCACCAGGAUCCCUUUUAGAGUCGAAAACUUUUCUUUGGAUCUAUGGAAGGAUACUUUCCGUUCUUGGCCCAGUCCUACCGUGGGAUGGACGGAUUGGUUCUUGAGGGUCAGCCACUCAAAUGAAGUCCAGUGGGGGGAGAGAAAACUAGACCAAUGCAUCAGGCUGUCUAUUGCCGAUAUGCAUAGAAAUGAGUCAUUGCUGAUAGCUGCAUCAUACUUCUGGUCAGACACGCUCAACACCUUUGUCUUUGGCCACGGCCCUACUUCCCCUACUCUUGCCGAUGGAGCUAUGCUCACUGGCCUAGAUGUAUCUUCUGCCGAUAGCACCCAUUUUUUCGACACCAAGCCCAGUGCCAAGGUAGAAACUCGUUCCAUCGGCAGUUGGUCAGGGUAUAUUCAGAAAUAUAAAUGAACUGGCCCUGUUAACAUAAAGGCGCAGACCAGUUUUCUGAACAUGUGGCUGGACAAAUUCGUGUUUUGCGGCCGAUCGGUAGGACCAACCUCCGUCUAUUUAGCAGCAGCAGAAAACUUAGCUAAUGGUGGCCGAUUUCCCCUCGGCCGAUACCUGCUUGGUGCAGCCUACCACCUCCUUCACCAAGUGACUAGGAAACUCUUACUCGGCCAGUCUAUCGGCAACUUGGGAUGUCCUUGGUUGUUCAUCAACAUGUGGCUCAGUCUCCACAUGCACAAGCGUCUUGAGUUUGACCUUUUUGCACAGCGUUUCCCAAGGGACAUAGCCGAGAACUAUGAUCUGGAUGAAGAAGAAUCGACAACACGCCCUCCCCUAAACUUCGGUGAGGCUGUCAUAGUUUUACCUGGUACAGGGGGUAAUGCAGACCAGGUCAGCCGAUUCUUCCAAACCUUGUAUGAAGGCUUGACCAGAGAGGAGCGAGCAUGGUUGGCUUAUGACGAUCCAGACACCAUGUUUCCUCUAGUUUUCAACCCAUUCAAUGAUGCUCUUGACACGGAUCACGAAGUGAAGAUGGCACCGGUCACUCCCAGAGCUAUACCAGUGAAUUUCUUUGGAAGUGGGAAAACCUCCAUCCAGACCUAUGAGUUUUAUAACCCAUCGGCAUUAGCUCGUCAAUUAGCUUUUGGCCAGCUGCCGAUUGCACUUUGUUAUGCCGAUGUGAUAAAACCUAGGGAAGCCAUCACUAGCCUUCUUGAAUGGAUUCGAGUGGCCCAACUGCCAUCAAGUGCCGAUACAGAUGUAGACCUGUCAGAGUGGGUUCCAGCCAUCUUGAUCACUCAGGCAUACAAGCAAUGGUGGGCAGAAUGGAAGGAACAUCUGUUCUGCAGAUCGGCUCUCACGUAUCGCGGCAUGAUCGACCCCGAGUACAAGGUUCCCGAUGACACUGUAAGUAUCUUUGAACUGAUGUUUCAAUUUUGUCAUUUUUACUUUCAUCGUUGAUUUACCUUUGCGUCAUCUUGCAGGUUGACAACACCCCUCCAUUGGUCAGCAGGAGUGGCAAGCCGAUUGACCUGUUUCCAUCAGGCCCAAUCUCCUCAAUCGGCAACAAUGCUCCUACCCUGGCCGCCAUCAUGCAUCGAGGUGUACGCCUCAAGAAGGUCACCACUAGGAGGACUCAGAUAUCUCCAUCGGUAGCUGCUUCCACCUUGGCACAGGUGUUCAAGGUAAUUGUUAAACCUUUUCAUUCAUACUGAUUCUUAUUUUACAUCUGCCACACUUGUACUCAUAAAUCUUUUCCAUAUCAUCAGACCGGCGCAUCGGCAAAGACCAGAAGCAAAGGUGCCGAUGCCCCUCAGUCUAGCCAGCAGAAGAGAAGAGGUGCCAAGAGUACAAGGGCACAAGCAAAGCGCCAAAACGUAGCAAUGCCUUCUCCUCCCCCGGUAUCUCCAAUCCCGGUAGAAUCUUCUCCUUCUCCUCCAGAAGCCCAGAUGCAACAAGUGCCAUCUCCACCUCCAAUGCAAGAAGCACCACAAGUGGGAGAACCCCAACCAGAAGAGCCUCAACCAGAAGUACCUCAACCAGAAGACACAUCGGCUGAUGUGCAUGAACAAACUACCGAUCCAGCAGGUUCCAUUAUAGCACUGGUGGUCUCUUCCGUCCAGACAAGCACUGCUCUUCCCCAAGGUAACACAUUUUUAUAAUAUUACUGCCAAUGAACUUAUUCUUUUUUGGCCUUAUAACCCCUUCUGUUAAUUUUCAGCUGACGUAGUUCCAUCGGCAACUCUGGCCGAUCAACCCGUGGCUCCAUCGGCAUCUUCCAGUCAAAGGCGAGAGAUUGCCUUGAAGCAAGUAAGCCAUCCAAUCUCCAUCAGUAAUAUUUGCCGAUGCUCUGACCAUAGAAUGACUCACUUCGUUUUCCUUUUCAGGAACAGGAUUCUCCCGAUAGCCUAUUCUCCUUUCCAUUGAUAUCUCCGAAGAUGAAGGUGAGGAAGCAAGUUCCUCCCGGGCAGUUGGGAUCGCAUCGGCAGAGAUCAGGGCAAAGCUCGAAGAACUGUCGGCUCUCCUCCAUCAAGACACGGCUCAAUUGGUCGAUGACUCUGACCCGACCAAGGCUCUGUUCAAGGCUCUCAGAGGCUAGAUUCCUGCUGAUGUUGAUGAAAUCCUCUUCCAGGCCGCACAUCUGGAGAGCCAUCAGCUGCAGUACCAGAAAGCUGCCCAGCGCCUUGCCGAUAGAGCGGCUCAUGCCCAACUCUCCAAGGAGACGAUGAAGGUGAAACUCCUUGCCGAUGAGAAGCACAAGAACAUCGGCAUUUUACAGUCCUCGGGAGAUGUAUUGAAGCAGAAGAUUUCCGAUCUAUCGGCGAGAAGAGAAGCCCUGCUGGCAGAACUCAAGCAAGUAGAGGAUGCUCUGUCCCAAGCCCGACAAGAAGAAAGCCAACUGCCAGAGACAAUUAAGCUUCUCGAGCAAGAACGAAACACCCAUGGCCGCAAGGCGCUGCAGAUGAAAAAGAAGCUGAAGCUAGUGGAAGGCUCUGCCGAUGACGACGUGAAGGAGAUAGAGGAAGCCAACCAGAUUUGACUGCGCGCCAUAUCGGCGAUCCAGGCGCUGUUGAGCACAUGAACCCUUCAUUGGCAACACAUCCUUGCCCCUCUGCACUUUCCAGCUCUCUUGUUGUUUAGUCUAGCCAAUACGACUGUUAUCGGCAUCUUUUGAAACAUUAAGUCCGGCCCCAGAUACACUUCAAUCUAGCCGAUAGGAGUGUUAUCGGCAUUUAAACCUUUUAUGCAUCGACCCAUAUACUUCGGUAGUACUUUUUCAGAUAUUUGCCAUUUAAUGCUCUGGAAAAUUCAACUCCUUCGAGAGUUUCUAGAAUAUAGGCAUUACCAGGAGCCGACCGACUUAUCCGAUAGGGACCCUCCCAAUUGGGAGACCACUUCCCAAAUUUUGAACUUUUAGUCCCGAUCGGCAAGACCAACUUCCAUACCAAGUCAUCAUCGGCAAAUUCCUUAGCCUUUACUUUCUUAUCAUACCAUCUAGCAACUCUCUUCUUAUUUUCUUCUAUACUCAUUAAAGCCUUUAACCGAUGUCCUGCUAGAUCAGGUCAUCAAAGUAGCAUAAUCAUCGGCAGCCAAUUAAUCCUGAAAAGAUAGUCGCCUAGAUCCAGCCUUAAUUUCCCAAGGCAACACUGCAUCAUGUCCAUACACCAACUGAUAAGGUGAAACCUUGGUUGAUCCAUGACAAGCCAUUCGAUAGGACCAUAAAGCUUCAUUUAACAAUGUGUGCCACCGCUUAGGAUUUUCUUCAAUUUUUAGUUUGAUAAGCUUGAUAAUUCCCUUGUUAGAUGCCUCGGCUUGCCCAUUAGCUUGAGCAUAAUAAGGAGAAGAGUUUAACACCUUAAUUCCCAUACCGAUUGUGAAUUCAUCAAAUUCCCCUGAUGUGAACAUAGUACCUUGGUCGGUAGUAAUUGUCUGAGGAAUCCCAAAUCGGUAAAUAAUGUGCUCCUUCACAAAAUCAAUCAUAUUGGCUGAGGUAACUUUCUUCAAAGGAAUAGCCUCAACCCAUUUGGUGAAAUAAUAGGUGGCAACCAUGAUAAACUUAUGCCCUUUGCGAGAUGGCGGAUAAAUCUGACCGAUUAAGUCAAUAGCCCAUCCCCGGAACGGCCAAGGUUUGAUAAUAGGAUUCAUGGCCGAUGCGGGUGCUCUUUGAAUAUUACCAAAUUUCUGACAUCCUUGACAUCCCUUGAAAUAUUUAAAGCAAUCUUCAUGUAUGGUCGGCCAAUAAUACCCGUUCCUCCUAAUCAUCCACUUCAUCUUAAAAGCCGACUGAUGUGCUCCACAUACUCCUUCAUGGAUUUCUCCCAUCAAACUCUUAGCUUCAUCAUCACCCAAGCAUCGGAGAAGAAUCCCAUCAAUAGUUCGAUAAUAUAAUUCAUCUUCGAGGAGCACAUACUUGGUGGCUUGAAACCGAAUUCGUCUUUCAACUUUCUUAGAUGGAUCUUUCAAAUAAUCAAAGAUUUCUUUUCUCCAAUCAUCGGCACCAAUUGCCGAUAUUGCAUUAAUCAUAGGCUGAUAUCCCGAGGCAUGCUGAGCCAACCGAUUGGCCUCUUCAUUAUGCAAUCGAGGAACAUACUCUAAUUGGAAAUCCUUGAAUUCCUUCAACAAUUGCAUACUCCGCUCGUAAUAAGUUAUGAGAACUUCACUUUGGCAUUCAUAGCUUCCAGUCAAUUGAUUUAUAACCAGCAUAGAAUCUCCGAAGACCUCGACAGCAUUAGCAUGAACUUCCCUUAACAAUUCCAAUCCCUUUAUUAAAGCUUGAUACUCAGCCUGAUUAUUCGUCGACGUGGCAACAAUCGGCAAGGAAAACUCAUACUUCCUUCCCUGAGGUGAAAUUAAUACUAUACCGAUUCCUGCCCCCCGGUCACAUGUAGAUCCAUCAAAGAAAAGUGUCCAAGGUAUAAUUUCCAAAGCCUCCACUGCACCGCGAUGUUGAGUUACAAAAUCGGCCAUAACCUGCCCUUUAACUGCCUUAGCCGAUUCAUAACGCAGAUCGAACUCCGACAGCGCCAAAAUCCAUUUACCGAUCCUGCCACUCAUAAUCGGCAUGGAUAGCAUGUACCGGACUACAUCAUCCUUGCAAAUAACAGUGCAUUCGGCCGAUAACAAGUAAUGCCUUAACUUGACACAAGAGAAAUAUAAGCACAAGCAUAGUUUCUUAAUAGCCGAAUACCUGGUCUCAGCAUCAAUCAACCUUUUGCUUAAGUAAUAAAUUACACGCUCCUUCCCCUCAAACUCUUGAAUUAAAGCCGAACCGAUGACCAUCCCAUCGGUAGACAAAUACAAUCUGAAGGGCUUCCCUUGCUGAGGUGGAAUCAGAACUGGAGGAUUCACUAAAUAAUUCUUGAUUUCAUCCAGAGCCAACUGCUGUUCCUUCCCCCAAACAAACUCUUGAUCAGCCUUUAACUUAAGAAGAGGACUGAAAGCACGAAUCUUACCAGACAAAUUAAAUAUAAACCUUAUGAUAAAAUUUACCUUGCCGAUCAAGGACUGGAGCUCGGUCUUGUUGGUUGGGGCCACUAUUUUAUUGAUGGCGUCAAUAGAUCUUCGACUGAUUUCAAUCCCCCUUUGGUGUACAAUGAAACCAAGAAAUUGUCCUGCCGAUACACCAAAUGCACACUUAUUGGGGUUCAUUUUCAAACCAUGGUUCCUUGUGCACUCCAACACCUUUCGUAAAUCAGCAAGAUGCUUUGUGAAGUCUCCAGACUUAACCACCACAUCAUCAAUAUAAAUCUCCACCAGCUUGCCGAUGAACUCAUGAAAUAUAAAAUUCAUGGCCCUUUGAUAAGUAGCACCAGCAUUCUUUAAGCCAAAGGUCAUGACUAUCCAUUCAAACAAUCCAACGUGACCAGGGCAUCUGAACGCGGUCUUUGGAAUAUCCUCUUCAGCCAUGAAUAUUUGAUUGUAUCCUGUAUUGUCAUCCAUAAAGCUAAUAAUCCGAUGCCCAGCCGCAGCGUCAACUAGCAGAUUGGCAACUGGCAUUGGGUAUCCAUCCAUCGGUGUAGCUAUGUUAAGAUUCCUGAAAUCAAUGCAGACCCGAAGCUUCCCGUUCUUCUUGUAGACCGGAACAACAUUGGAAAUCUACUCGGCAUACCGACAUUGCCGAAUAAACUUGGCUUCAAUAAGUUUGGUUAUUUCAGCCUUAAUAUCAGGGAGAAUAUUAGGAUUACAUCGGCGAGCCGGUUGCUGAUGUGGCCGAAAUCCAGACUUGAUAGGUAACCGAUGUUCAAUAAUUGAUCGGUCCAAACUAGGCAUCUCAGUAUAAUCCCAAGCAAAGCAAUCUUUAAAUUCCUUUAACAAAUCGGUUAACUGUUCCUUACACUCAGAAUCUAAUUUAGCACUAAUAAAAGUGGGUCUAGGCUUAUCACCACUACCUAUAUCUACUUCUACUAGAUCAUCGGCCCAUGUGAAUCCCUGGCCUAACUUUCCAUCAUCGGCGAACCUAUCCAUUAAAAACCUUCAUCAGAACUGACUGCUUGGAUCGGUGGAAUGUCGUAAUCGGCAACCUUGAGAAAAUCCUUUUCCCAAAUUUCUCCUGAAAUACACCUAGUCCUUUCGUAGGUGUCUGCCUCUGCCGAUGCGAUGGCAUAAGAAGAAUCUCCUGGGACAAUUUCAAUCUUGUCACCUACCCACUGGACCAAGCAUUGGUGCAUUGUAGACGGGAUGCAACAAUUAGCAUGAAUCCAAUCUCUUCCUAACACUAAGUUGUAAGCACCCUUUCCACUGAUCACGAAGAAGGUUGUCGGCAAGGUCUUACUGCCGAUGGUCAACUCUACGCAUAUUGCUCCCUUGACCGGAGACACAUUUCCUUCAAAAUCCUUAAGCAUCAUAUCAGUCUUGGUUAAAUCCUGAUCCCCUUUUCCAAGCUUCCGAUACACUGCAUAUGGCAUGAUAUUAAUGGCGGCUCCACCAUCAAUUAGAAUCUUGGUCAUCGGCUGACCAUCCACUUUUCCUUUAACAAACAGGGCCUUGUGGUGCUGCCUUUCAUCAUCGGCGGGCUUCUCGAAGAUAGCCGUCAUCGGAUCUAGAGCCAACUGAGCUAUUUGGUCGGAAAACUCCACCUCAUCAUCACUGGAUGGUGCAAGGAACUCCAUCGGCAACAUAAAUACCAUGUUGACAUCUGCCGAUGGACCUUUCCCCUUAGGAUCUGAUUGUUGCUGAUCCCUAGACUGUCUGGAGUUUUCCCCCUUGCUCAACUCUUCACGCCUUUCGCGCUGCAGUCUUCUCUUCUGAGUCCUGGUCAACCCCUCCGGACACCAUGGAGGAAGCUGCUGUUGCCUUACCGAUGGGCGGCGAUUUUCUCCUGACUCAAUUCGGUAAGUAUUGGCAUCUCGGCAGAAGAUGAACUCAUCGGGAACCCGUGCAUUAGCCAUCUCUUCGAGUUCUUCCUGGUUCCUGGGAAAAUAUUGAACACGAUCACCAAGCCUGUCAUGCACGCUGAGCCUGCCCCCCAACCGAUCGUGAACGGACGCUCUUCCUCUAAUCGGCCCAUUAGACCGCCGAUUGUCGUCGUGGUAGCGCCGAUCGGAUCUAUCAUACUGAUCAUAACCGUUGCACUCAGGGCAAUCUAUGACAGUGGGAAGCUUGACAUUCUCCUCCCAAAAAUAAAUGAAGAACGGGCAAUUCCAGUGAUCCCUAUGUCGAUUCCAUUCUUGUCGGCGUCUUUCCUCUUCUAGAUGAUAAUCCUCUUGCUAGCGCCGGUACCGAUCUUCUCGUUGUUGCCAAGUCUCCCGAGGCCUCCUGUGAGUUAUCACAAUACCAGAUCGGGGAGGCCUUCCUGAGUUAGCUCCCUCCUGGAUCAAGCCUUUUCCUUUGGCAUCGGCAGUAGUGACCUGAUGCUGAGGAUCCACCGAUGCACUUCUUUCAGCUGCUUCCGACGUCAAGACCUUGGCCUUUCCCUUAGCAUCCAACAUGUUCGUUGGGAAACGAUGUUGAUCAAUCUUCAUCGGCUUUUGGGUCUUGGAAGUGUCGAAUUUGAUUCUUCCAGACUCUAUAGCCAAUUGCAGCUGCUGUCUGAAAACCUUGCACUCAUUAGUGUCGUGAGAAGUUGCAUUGUGCCACUUGCAAUACUUCAUCCUUUUUAAUUCUUCAGCCGAUGGGAUCACAUGAUUAGGUGACAGCUUGAUCUGACCUUCCUGAAGUAGAAAGUCUAAUAUCCUAUCGGCCUUAGUGGUGUCAAACGCGAACUUCUCUGGUUCUUUAUGUCCAAAAGGACAAGACAUCGGCUUUUUAUUUUUCACCCAUUCUGCCAAGCCGAUGACUGGUUCUUCAUCAGAGUCCGAGCUUACCGCUUCAUCCACAAAUGAUACCUUUUUAUUCCAUGCUCUCUUGGGUUCAAACGGCUUGAUAUCUUGAUCAGAGAUUCUCUGCACCAGAUGACUUAAGCUUUCAAACUCUUGAGAUGCAUAUUUGUCCCUUAUGUGUGGCAACAAACCCUAGAAAGCCAAAUCAGCUAGCUGCCGAUCAUCCAGAACCGGGCUAUAGCAUUUGUUCUUAACCUCCCGUAUCCUCUGCACAAAACUCUCAACCGAUUCAUCAUUGCGUUGCCUUAAUUUGACCAAAUCGGUGAUUUUCUUUUCAUGGACCCCCGAAAAGAAAUAUUUGUGGAAUUGUUUCUCCAAAUCGGCCCAAGUAAUCACUGAGUUGGGAGGCAAUGAUAUAAACCACGUGAAAGCCGAUCUAGACAACGAUGACGAGAAUAAGCGAACCCUUAACUCGUCCCUGUUACCAGCUUCCCCGCAUUGAAUGAUGAACCUGUUGACGUGCUCCAUGGUUGACGUGUCAUCCUGCCCAGAAAACUUAGUAAAAUCCAGUACCUUGUACCGAUUCGGAGGCAGGAUCAAAUCGUAUGCGGGAGGAUACGGUGUCCGAUAAGAGUAAGUGUUGACUUUGGGUUUUAUCCCAAAUUGGUCCCUCAUUACUUCAGCAAUCUUAUCAGCCCAAUAAGCAUCGGCAUCUUGCUGAUGAGGUGGUUGUGGAUCUGGCACCUACUGGUAAGCUUCCACGUGUCUGUGCGGCACACGAUCUGCAUGAAAUAUUGGAUUAAUCAUUUGGCCCUCAAUCUGCGGACUACCAAGCUGUUGCCCGCCAAUCUGCUACCCGAGAUUCAUUGGCUGGUUAGGGAUCCCCUGAUUCUGGAACCCGGGAUAGAUCUGUCCUUGCUAGAACCUGGUAGCUUGAUGACUCUGUUGGGGCGUUUGCGGAAAGACUUGCUGCCCAAGCCAUCCAGUAUUGGCAUUCAUCGGCAUAGGUCCUGCCGAUGACUGAUAAUUGGGCAUUAUCAUUGAAUUGACAUACCCUGGUUGAGUCAAAGACCUCUGUUGCAUCAGCAUUGAGUCUGCCGAUGCGUUAGGCAUCUGGAACGUUAGAGCUUGAGAAUUCCCAGUGUAAGGUCUUGGAGUAGUAGUCGUAGUAUACUGGGGACUCUGGUUCAUCGACAUACUUGGAGGUGCCGAUGCCAUAGGAGCCUUGCCUCUCAUAUCAGUUGCCUGAGAUGUGCCAGGUGUCUUCAUGUUUUCCGGGGGCAUACCAUAACCCCACCAGUUGGGAGGAGGGACCAGUGCUGACAUUGCCGACGCCAAUAAAUCUGUAGUGAGCCUAAUCUGCUCAUCUGAAGUCGGCGGAUUGGUUGUCAUCGGCGUAGAUUGUGCAUUGGUGACUCCCAACGUGCUUGGAGGAACGGUAGUCUGUGUUCCCACAGCGGCUGUAGUGGCCGAUGGUGCUGUGACCAUCGGCGACCCUGGCUAGUGAUAAGAGGGGCCCACAUAAUCUGGUGGCAAUUGUCCUUCCUUCAAGGUUCGGGCCACAGCAUUGAAGACCGUAUUAGACAGUACACCAUCUUGGUUGAUCAAAGCACGGUUGAUAGCACUAUCAACCAUCUCCUGAAGUUUACCAGGAUUGGCUUCAAAAGUAACCUGCCGAGGCGUCGGCAAUGCAUCCUUCUGGAUCACUUCGCCGCUCCUGUUCAUACUGAAGGAUCUCAGGCACUGCUGUUUGUAAUCCUCCAUGGCUUUAGCAAUAGCUCGCUUCUGCUCAUCCUUGAGAUUGGCUUCCGUCACGGGGAUGACGUUCUCUUGAUCAAACUCAGAAGUCGACAUGAUGAUCUUGAUCUUGAAUCUGUCCCACUGGGCGUGCCAAAAGAUGUGUUGGUGCAAAAGCUGAUCUGCAAACACAAAGGGCUAAUACCCGAUUUAAACGUUAAGGCGUGCCAGCCGAUUUGACCUUACUAUCGGCAAAGGUAGUAACUCGAAUACUUUGGUCCCGACAACAGGGAUGUACCCGGAUGUCACGGCCAAGAGGUAUUCACGCGGAACUUGAGAAUACGCCGAGCUUAAGUCGACGAAUUCCUAAGAACUCGUAACGAAAAGGAAAAAGUAUGACGAAGUCGUCGAAAAAGUAGAUGCUUGGAAUAUGAGUAAAAACGUGUGUUUGUUUGAUUGAUUGAUAUCUUCAUUACAAGGCCCUAGGGUCUACAUUUAUACCCUGCUCAAAGAGCUACAACCAGACACGACUAGAAUUUGAAUUCCAAAUUUAAACAGAAUCCGUGUACAAAACGAUCUAAAUAACUAAGGAAAACGUAAAACCAUCCUCACGUGACAAACCAGAACAUCCCCACCAGCCGAUCGGCAAAUUCCAGGUUCUCCCUCCGUAUCAUCGGCAGACUCCUUUGUCAUAGCCAUCGGCACAAACACAUCAUCACCUAUGGACUUGGUCACGUUCAACCAUCCUUCCAUCAGCAACCAUCUUCAUCGGCAACUCACCCUGUAGAUCAAGCACCACCGUCCUAUUUUGCCGAUCUACACUUUACCGAUCAUGGACACGUGCCCAAAAACGGUGUCAACAUAACCACAGGAAAUUUGAGCUUAAACAAGUGAAAGACGUGGCCUGUGGAAAUUUUUGAAAAUUGCAAAAAAUAUGAAAAAAACUUUUGGAGGUGAAAACUCAAACUUCAGAGGCGCAUUUGGGGAUUCUAAAAUUGUCAAACCCGGAUACGGUGGGGAUAGACUGAUCCAAAAAUUUGGUUUGAUCGAUUUUGAUAUAUGCAACGUCAAAAUCGGAGUUCGUAUGCGAAAACUAUGGUUGUUUUACGAACGGACUCCGAAUUGGAAGACAAAACAGUCCGGAAGUGGCAAAAAUUUGCGGCGGUGGCUAGAAAUUGAUGGAAACGGUGGGAAAAAAUACACAAACUAGACUCAAACAAGACCUAACCAGUAACAAGACAUCGACCAGGACACAAACUCAACACUACGGACUCUGAAACUGAAAUAUGCAAAGGCUAUGGCGCGGAUGGGUUGUAGGACAUGAAAACAAUAUGGCACUGGACUUAUGGGAGGAACACAAGGACACUCGAAACUAAGGGUAGAUGUGAACCUAACGGUAUGUCUCAUGCUUUGAUUACCACUUGAGGAGAACAAGUGUGGCCCGAUCUUCCGAAAGGUUUAGGUAACUAUCGAUUUGGUGGAAACGAGACACAAAUCAAUCCAGCUUGCGAACAACACGAUUCGAAACACUACAAUUCAUUUUAUUUUUUUUAUAUUUUUCUUUUACUUAGGAGCAAUCAACAAGUAACCACAGGAAAUUUGAGCUUAAACAAGUGAAAGACUUGGCCUGUGGAAAUUUUUGAAAAUGGCGAAAAAUAUGAAAAAAACUUUUGGAGGUGAAAACUCAAACUACAGAUGCGAAUUUGGAGAUUCUAAAAUUUUCAAACCCGCACACUACGGGGAUAGACAGAUCCAAAAAUUUGGUUUGAUCGAUUUUGAUAUAUGGAACGUCAAAAUCGGAGUUCGUAUGCGAAAAUUAUGGCUGUUUUACGAACGGACUCCAAAUUAGAAGACAAAACGGUCCGGAAGUGGGAAAAAUUUGCGGCGGUGGCUAGAAAUUGAUGGAAACGGUGGGAAGAAGCACACAAAUUGGACUCUGACAAGACCUAACCAGUAACAAGACCUCGACUAGGACACAAACUCAACACUACGGACUCUGAAACUCAAAUAUGCAAAGGCUAUGGCACAGAUGGGUUGUAGGACAUGAAAACAAUAUGGCACUAGACUUAUGAGACGAACACAAGGACACUCGAAACUAAGGGUAGAUGUGAACCUAAUGGUAUGUCUCAUGCUUUGAUUACCACUUGAGGAGAACAAGUGUGGCCCGAUCUUGCGAAAGGUUCUGGUAACUAUCGAUUUGGUGGAAUCGAGACACAAAUCAAUCCAGCUUGCGAACCACACGAUUCGAAACCCUACAAUUAUUUUUAUUUUUUUAUAUUUUUCUUUUACUUAGGAGCACUCAAGAAGUAACCACAGGAAAUUUGAGCUUAAACAAGUGAAAGACGUGGCCUGUGGAAAUUUUUGAAAAUUGCGAAAAAUUUGAAAAAAACUUUUGGAGGUGAAAACUCAAACUUUAGAGGCGAAUUUGGGGAUUCUAAAAUUGUCAAACCCGCACACAACCAGGAUAGACUGAUCCAAAAAUUUGGUUUGAUCGAUUUUGAUAUAUGGAACGUCAAAAUCGGAGUUCGUAUGCGAAAAUUAUGGCUGUUUUACGAACGGACUCCGAAUAAGAAGACAAAACGGUCCGCAAGUGGGAAAAAUUUGCGGCGGUGGCUAGAAAUUGAUGAAAACGGUGGGAAAAAACACACAAACUGAACUCAAACAAGACCUAACCAGUAACAAGACCUCGACCAGGACACAAACUCAACACUACGGACAAAGGCUAUGGCGCGGAUGGGUUGUAGGACAUGAAAACAAUAUGGCACUAGACUUAUGGGACGAACACAAAGAUACUCGAAACUAAGGGUAGAUGUGAACCUAACGGUAUGUCUCAUGCUUUGAUUACCACUUGAGAAGAACAAGUGUGUCCCGAUCUUCCGAAAGGUUCCGGUAACUAUCGAUUUGGUGGAAACGAGACACAAAUCAAUCCAGCUUACGAACAACACGGUUUGAAACCCUGCAAUUCUUUUUAUUUUUUUUUGAUAUUUUGCUUUUACUUAGGAGCAUUCAAGAAGUAAGCACAGGAAAUUUGAGCUUAAACAAGUGAAAGACGUGGCUUGUGGAAUUUUUUGAAGAUUGCGAAAAAUAUAAAAAAAUUAGGAGGUGAAAACUCAAACUUCAGAGGCGAAUUUGGGGAUUCUAAAAUUACCGAACCUGCCUUUGGCUGAAAUAUGCAAAGACUAUGGUGCGGAUGGGUUGUAGGACAUGAAAACAAUAUGGCACUAGACUUAUGGGACGAACACAAGGACACUCGAAACUAAGGGUAGAUGUGAACCUAAUGGUAUGUCUCAUGCUUUGAUUACCACUUGAGGAGAACAAGUGUGGCCCGAUCUUCCGAAAGGUUCUGGUAAAUAUCGAUAUGGUGGAAACGAGACACAAAUCAAUCCAGCUUGCAAACAACACGAUUCGAAACCCUACAAUUCUUUUUAUUUUUUUAUAUUUUUCUUUUACUUAGGAGCACUCAAGAAGUAACCACAUGAAAUUUGAGCUUAAACAAGUGAAAGACGUGGCAUGUGGAAAUUUUUGAAAAUUACAAAAAAUAUGAAAAAAACUUUUAGAGGUGAAAACUCAAACUUCAGAGGCAAAUUUGGGGAUUCUAAAAUUGUCAAACCCGCACACGGCGGGGAUAAACUAAUCCAAAAAUUUGGUUUGAUCGAUUUGGAUAUAUGGAAAGAAAUUGAUGAAAACGGUGGGAAAAAACACACAAACUGGACUCAAACAAGACCUAACCAGUAACAAGACCUCGACCAGGACACAAACUCAACACUACGGACAAAGGCUAUGGCGCGAAUGGGUUGUAGGACAUGAAAACAAUAUGGCACUAGACUUAUGGGACGAACACAAAGACACUCGAAACUAAGGGUAGAUGUGAACCUAACGGUAUGUCUCAUGCUUUGAUUACCACUUGAGGAGAACAAGUGGUUCUGGUAACUAUCGAUUUGGUGGAAACGAGACACAAAUCAAUCCAGCUUGCGAACAACACGAUACGAAACCCUACAAUUCUUUUUAUUUUUUUAUAUUUUUCUUUUACUUAGGAGCACUCAAUAAGUAACCACAGGAAAUUUGAGCUUAAACAAGUGAAAGACGUGGCCUGUGGAAAUUUUUGAAAAUUGCGAAAAAUUUGAAAAAAGUUUUGGAGGUGAAAACUCAAACUUUAGAGGCGAAUUUGGGGAUUCUAAAAUUGUCAAACCCGCACGCAGCGGGGAUAGACUGAUCCAAAAAUUUGGUUUGAUCGAUUUUGAUAUAUGGAACGUCAAAAUCGGAGUUCGUAUGCGAAAAUUAUGGCUGUUUUACGAACGAACUCCGAAUUAGAAUACAAAACGGUCCGCAAGUGGGAAAAAUUUGCGGCGGUGGCUAGAAACUGAUGGAAACGGUGGGAAAAAACACACAAACUCGACUGAAACAAGACCUAACCAGUAACAAGACCUCAACCACGACACAAACUCAACACUACGGACAAAGGCUAUGGCGCGGAUGGGUUGUAGGACAUGAAAACAAUAUGCCACUAGACUUAUGGGAUGAACACAAGGACACUCGAAACUAAGGGUAGAUGUGAACCUAACGGUAUGUGUCAUGCUUUGAUUACCACUUGAGGAGAACAAGUGUGGCCCGAUCUUCCGAAAGGUUCUGGUAACUAUCGAUUUGGUGGAAUCGAGACACAAAUCAAUCCAGCUUGCGAACAACACGAUUCGAAACCCAACAAUUCUUUUUUAUUUUUUUUAUAUUUUUCUUUCACUUAGGAGCACUCAAGAAGUAACCAUAGGAAAUUUGAGCUUAAACAAGUGAAAGACGUGGCCUGUGGAAAUUUUUGGAAAUUGUGAAAAAUAUGAAAAAAACUUUUGGAGGUGAAAACUCAAACUUCAGAGGCGAAUUUGGGGAUUCUAAAAUUGUCAAACCCGUACACGGCGGGGAUAGACAGAUCCAAAAAUUUGGUUUGAUCGAUUUUGAUAUAUGGAACGUCAAAAUCGGAGUUCGUAUGCGGAAAUUAUGGCUGUUUUACGAACGGACUCUGAAUUAGAAGACAAAACGGUCCGGAAGUGGGAAAAAUUUGCGGCGGUGGCUAGAAAUUGAUGGAAACGGUGGGAAGAAGCACACAAAUUGGACUCUAACAAGACCUAACGAGUAACAAGACCUCGACUAGUACACAAACUCAACACUACGGACUGUGAAACUGAAAUAUGCAAAGGCUAUGGCGCGGAUGGGUUGUAGGACAUGAAAACAAUAUGGCACCAGACUUAUGGGACGAACACAAGGACACUCGAAAUUAAGGAUAGAUGUGAACCUAAUGGUAUGUAUAAAGCUUUGAUUACCACUUGAGGAGAAUAAGUGUGGCCCGAUCUUCCGAAAGGUUCUCAUAACUAUCGAUUUGGUGGAAACGAGACACAAAUCAAUCCAGCAUACGAACAACACGGUUUGAAACCCUGCAAUUCUUUUUAUUUAUUUUUUUUGAUAUUUUGCUUUUACUUAGGAGCACUCAAGAAGUAAGCACAGGAAAUUUGAGCUUAAACAAGUGAAAGACGUGGCUUGUGGAAUUUUUUGAAGAUUGCGAAAAAUAUAAAAAAAUUAGGAGGUGAAAACUCAAACUUCAGAGGCGAAUUUGGGGAUUCUAAAAUUACCGAACUAGCCUUUGGCUGAAAUAUGCGAAGGCUAUGGCGCGGAUGGGUUGUAGGACAUGAAAACAAUAUGCCACUAGACUUAUGGGACGAACACAAGGACACUCGAAACUAAGGGUAGAUGUGAACCUAAUGGUAUGUCUCAUGCUUUGAUUACCACUUGAGGAGAACAAGUGUGGCCUGAUCUUCCGAAAGGUUGUGGUAAAUAUCGAUCUGGUGGAAACGAGACACAAAACAAUCCAGCUUGCGGACAACACGAUUAAAAACCCUACAAUUCUUUUUAUUUUUUUAUAUUUUUCUUUUACUUAGGUGCACUCAAGAAGUAACCACAUGAAAUUUGAGCAUAAACAAGUGAAAGACGUGGCAUGUGGAAAUUUUUGAAAAUUACAAAAAAUAUGAAAAAAACUUUUAGAGGUGAAAACUCAAACUUCAGAGGCAAAUUUGGGGAUUCUAAAAUUGUCAAACCCGCACACGGCGAGGAUAGACUGAUCCAAAAAUUUGGUUUGAUCGAUUUGGAUAUAUGGAACGUCAAAAUCGGAGUUCGUAUGCAAAAAUUAUGGUUGUUUUACGAACGGACUCCGAAUAAGAAGACAAAACGGUCCGCAAGUGGGAAAAAUUUGCGGCGGUGGCUAGAAAUUGAUGAAAACGGUGGGAAAAAACACACAAACUGAACUCAAACAAGACCUAACCAGUAACAAGACCUCGACCAGGACACAAACUCAAAACUACGGACAAAGGCUAUGGCGCGGAUGGGUUGUAGGACAUGAAAACAAUAUGCCACUAGACUUAUGGGAUGAACACAAGGACACUCGAAACUAAGGGUAGAUGUGAACCUAACGGUAUGUCUCAUGCUUUGAUUACCACUUGAGGAGAACAAGUGUGGCCCGAUCUUCCGAAAGGUUCUGGUAACAAUCGAUUUGGUGGAAACGAGACACAAAUCAAUCCAGCUUGCAAACAACAUGAUUCGAAACCCUACAAUUCUUUUUAUUUUUUUAUAUUUUUCUUUUACUUAGGAGCACUCAAGAAGUAACCACAGGAAAUUGGAGCUUAAACAAGUGAAAGACGUGGCCUGUGGAAAUUUUUGAAAAUUGCGAAAAAUUUGAAAAAAACUUUUGGAGGUGAAAACUCAAACUUUAGAGGCGAAUUUGGGGAUUCUAAAAUUGUCAAACCCGCACACAGCGGGGAUAGACUGAUCCAAAAAUUUGGUUUGAUCGAUUUUGAUAUAUGGAACGUCAAAAUCGGAGUUCGUAUGCGAAAAUUAUGGCUGUUUUACGAACGAACUCCGAAUUAGAAUACAAAACGGUCCGCAAGUGGGAAAAAUUUGCGGCGGUGGCUAGAAAUUAAUGGAAACGGUGGGAAAAAACACACAAACUCGACUGAAACAAGACCUAACCAGUAACAAGACCUCGACCAGGACACAAACUCAACACUACGGACAAAGGCUAUGGCGCGGAUGGGUUGUAGGACAUGAAAACAAUAUGCCACUAGACUUAUGGGAUGAACACAAGGACACUCGAAACUAAGGGUAGAUGUGAACCUAACGGUAUGUGUCAUGCUUUGAUUACCACUUGAGGAGAACAAGUGUGGCCCGAUCUUCCGAAAGGUUCUGGUAACUAUCGAUUUGGUGGAAUCGAGACACAAAUCAAUCCAGCUUGCGAACAACACGAUUCGAAACCCAACAAUUCUUUUUUAUUUUUUUUAUAUUUUUCUUUCACUUAGGAGCACUCAAGAAGUAACCAUAGGAAAUUAGAGCUUAAACAAGUGAAAGACGUGGCCUGUGGAAAUUUUUGGAAAUUGUGAAAAAUAUGAAAAAAACUUUUGGAGGUGAAAACUCAAACUUCAGAGGCGAAUUUGGGGAUUCUAAAAUUGUCAAACCCGCACACGGCGGGGAUAGACAGAUCCAAAAAUUUGGUUUGAUCGAUUUUGAUAUAUGGAACGUCAAAAUCGGAGUUCGUAUGCGGAAAUUAUGGCUGUUUUACGAACGGACUCUGAAUUAGAAGACAAAACGGUCCGGAAGUGGAUAAAAUUUGCGGCGGUGGCUAGAAAUUGAUGGAAACGGUGGGAAGAAGCACACAAAUUGGACUCUAACAAGACCUAACGAGUAACAAGACCUCGACUAGUACACAAAUUCAACACUACGGACUGUGAAACUGAAAUAUGCAAAGGCUAUGGCGCGGAUGGGUUGUAGGACAUGAAAACAAUAUGCCACUAGACUUAUGGGACGAACACAAAGACACUCGAAACUAAGGGUAGAUGUGAACCUAACGGUAUGUCUCAUGCUUUGAUUACCACUUGAGGAGAACAAGUGUGGCCCGAUCUUCCGAAAGGUUCUCAUAACUAUCGAUUUGGUGGAAACGAGACACAAAUCAAUCCAGCUUACGAACAACACGGUUUGAAACCCUACAAUUCUUUUUUUUUUGAUAUUUUCCUUUUACUUAGGAGCACUCAAGAAGUAAGCACAGAAAAUUUGAGCUUAAACAAGUGAAAGACGUGGCUUGUGGAAUUUUUUGAAGAUUGCGAAAAAUAUAAAAAAAUUAGGAGGUGAAAACUCAAACUUCAGAGGCGAAUUUGGGGAUUCUAAAAUUACUGAACCUGCCUUUGGCUGAAAUAUGCGAAGGCUAUGGUGCGGAUGGGUUGUAGGACAUGAAAACAAUAUGGCACUAGACUUAUGGGACGAACACAAGGACACUCGAAACUAAGGGUAGAUGUGAACCUAAUGGUAUGUCUCAUGCUUUGAUUACCACUUGAGGAGAACAAGUGUGGCCCGAUCUUCCGAAAGGUUCUGGUAAAUAUCGAUCUGGUGGAAACGAGACACAAAUCAAUCCAGGUUGCAAACAACACGAUUCGAAACCCUACAAUUCUUUUUAUUUUUUUAUAUUUUUCUUUUACUUAGGAGCACUCAAGAAGUAACCACAUGAAAUUUGAGCUUAAACAAGUGAAAGACGUGGCAUGUGGAAAUUUUUGAAAAUUACAAAAAAUAUGAAAAAAACUUUUAGAGGUGAAAACUCAAACUUCAGAGGCAAAUUUGGGGACUAUAAAAUUGUCAAACCCACACACGGCGGGGAUAAACUGAUCCAAAAAUUUGGUUUGAUCGAUUUGGAUAUAUGGAACGUCAAAAUCGGAGUUCGUAUGCGAAAAUUAUGGUUGUUUUACGAACGGACUCCGAAUUAGAAGACAAAACGGUCCGCAAGUGGGAAAAAUUUGCGGCGGUGGCUAGAAAUUGAUGAAAACGGUGGGAAAAAACACACAAACUGGACUCAAACAAGACCUAACCAGUAACAAGACCUCGACCAGGACACAAACUCAACACUACGGACAAAGGCUAUGGCGCGGAUGGGUUGUAGGACAUGAAAACAAUAUGGCACUAGACUUAUGGGACGAACACAAAGACACUCGAAACUAAGGGUAGAUGUGAACCUAACGGUAUGUCUCAUGCUUUGAAUACCACUUGAGGAGAACAAGUGUGGCCCGAUCUUCCGAAAGGUUCUGGUAACUAUCGAUUUGGUGGAAACGAGACACAAAUCAAUCCAGCUUGCCAACAACACGAUUCGAAACCCUACAAUUCUUUUUAUUUUUUUAUAUUUUUCUUUUACUUAGGAGCACUCAAGAAGUAACCACAGGAAAUUGGAGCUUAAACAAGUGAAAGACGUGGCCUGUGGAAAUUUUUUAAAAUUGCGAAAAAUAUGAAAAAAAUUUUUGAGGUGAAAACUGAAACUUCAGAGAUGAAUUUGGGGAUUCAAAAAUUGUCAAACCCGCAUACGGCAGGGAUAGAUAGAUCCAAAAAUUUGUUCUGCUCGAUUUUGAUAUAUGGAACGUCAAAAUCGGAGUUCGUAUGCGAAAGUUAUGGCUGUUUUACGAACGGACUCCGAAUUAGAGGACAAAACGGUCCGGAAGUGGGAAAAUUUUGCGGUGGUGGCUAGAAAUUGAUGGAAACGGUGGGAAAAAACACAUAAAGUGGACUCAAACAAGACCUAACCAGUAACAAGACCUCGACCAGGACACAAACUCAACACUACAGACUCUGAAAUAUGCAAAAACUAUGGCGCGGAUGGUUUGUAGGACAUGAAAACAAUAUGGCACUAGACUUAUGGGAUGAACACAAGGACACUCGAAACUAAGGGUAGAUGUGAACCUAACGGUAUGUCUCAUCCUUUGAUUACCACUUGAGGAGAACAAGUGUGGCCCAAUCUUCCGAAAGGUUCUGGUAACCAUCGAUUUGGUGGAAACGAGACACAAAUCAAUCCAGCUUGCGAACAACACCAUUCGAAACCCUACAAUUCUUUUUAUUUUUUUUAUAUUUUUCUUUUACUUAGGAGCACUCAAGAAGUAACCAUAGGAAAUUUGAGCUUAAACAAGUGAAAGACGUGGCCUGUGAAAAUUUUUGAAAAUUGCGAAAAAUCUGAAAAAAAACUUUUGGAGGUGAAAACUCAAACUUCAGAGGUGAAUUUGGGGAUUCUAAAAUUGUCAAACCCGCAAACGUCGGGGAUAGACAGAUCCAAAAAUUUGGUUUGAUCGAUUUUGAUAUAUGGAACGUCAAAAUCAGAGUUCGUAUGCGAAAAUUAUGGCUGUUUUACGAACGGACUCUGAAUUAGAAGACAAAACGGUCCGGAAGUGGGAAAAAUUUGCGGCGGUGGCUAGAAAUUGAUGGAAACGGUGGGAAGAAGCACAAAAAUUGGACUCUAACAAGACCUAACGAGUAACAAGACCUCGACUAGGACACAAACUCAACACUACGGACUGUGAAACUGAAAUAUGCAAAGGCUAUGGCGCAGAUGGGUUGUAGGACAUGAAAACAAUAUGGCACCAGACUUAUGGGACGAACACAAGGACACUCGAAAUUAAGGGUAGAUGUGAACCUAAUGGUAUGUAUAAAGCUUUGAUUACCACUUGAGGAGAAUAAGUGUGGCCCCAUCUUCCGAAAGGUUCUCAUAACUAUCGAUUUAUUGGAAACGAGACACAAAUCAAUCCAGCUUACGAACAACACGGUUUGAAACCCUGCAAUUCUUUUUAUUUUUUUUGAUAUUUUGCUUUUACUUAGGAGCACUCUAGAAGUAAGCACAAGAAAUUUGAGCUUAAACAAGUGAAAGACGUGGCUUGUGGAAUUUUUUGAAGAUUGCGAAAAAUAUAAAAAAAUUAGGAGGUGAAAACUCAAACUUCAGAGGCGAAUUUGGGGAUUCUAAAAUUACCGAACCUGCCUUUGGCGGAGAUAGACAGAUCCGUUCUGAUCCAUUUUGAUAUAUGGAACGUCAAAAUCGGAGUUCGUAUGCGAAAGUUAUGGCUGUUUUACGAACGGACUCCGAAUUAGAGGACAAAACGGUCCGGAAGUGGGAAAAAUUUGUGGUGGUGGCUAGAAAUUGAUGGAAACGGUUGGAAAAAACACACAAACUGGACUCAAACAAGACCUAACCAGUAACAUGACCUCGACCAGGACACAAACUCAACACUACGGACUCUGAAACUGAAAUAUGCGAAGGCUAUGGCACGGAUGGGUUGUAGGACAUGAAAACAAUAUGGCACUAGACUUAUGGGAUGAACACAAGGACACUCGAAACUAAGGGUAGAUGUGAACCUAAUGGUAUGUCUCAUGCUUUGAUUACCACUUGCGGAGAACAAGUGUGGCCCGAUAUUUCGAAAGGUUCUGGUAAAUAUCGAUCAGUUGGAAACGAGACACAAAUCAAUCCAGCUUGCGAACAACACGAUUCGAAACCCUACAAUUCUUUUUAUUUUUUUUAUAUUUUUCUUUUACUUAGGAGCACUCGAGAAGUAACCACACAAAAUUUGAGCUUAAACAAGUGAAAGACGUGGUGAAAACUCAAAUUUUCAGAGGCCAAUUUGGGGAUUCUUUAUUUCUCGAACCCGCCUAUGGCAGGGAUAGACAGAUCCAGAAAAAAAUUCUGAUCGAUUUUGAUAUAUGGAACGUUAAAAUCGGAGUUCGUAUGCGAAAGUUAUGACUGUUUUACGAACGGAUUCCGAAUUAGAGGAGAAAACGGUGCGGAAGUGGGAAAAAUUUGCGGUGGUGGCUAGAAAUUGAUGGAAACGGUGGGAAAAAACACAGAAACUGGACCUAACCAGUAACAAGACCUCGACCAGGACACAAACUCAACACUACGGACUCUGAUACUAAAAUAUGCAAAGGCUAUGGCGCGGAUGGGUUGUACGACAUGAAAACAAUAUGGCACUAGACUUAUGGGACGAACACAAGGACACUCGAAACUAAGGGUAGAUGUGAACCUAACGGUAUGUUUGAUGCUUUGAUUACCACUUGAGGAGAACAAGUGUGGCCCGAUCUUCCGAAAGGUUCUGGUAACUAUUGAUUUACUGGAAACGAGACACAAAUCAAUCCAGCUUGCGAACAACACGAUUCGAAACCCUACCAUUCUUUUUAUUUUUUUGAUAUUUUUCUUUUACUUAGGAGCACUCAAGAAGUAACCAUAGGAUAUUUGAGGUUAAACAAGUGAAAGAUGUGGCAUGUGGAAUUUUUUGAAGAUUGCAAAAAAUAUGAAAAAAAACUUUAGGAGGUGAAAACUCAAACUUCAGAGGCGAAUUUGGGGAUUCUAAAAUUAUCAAACCUGCCCAUGGCGGGGAUAGAUAGAUCCAAAUUUUUUUUGAUCCAUUUUGAUAAAUGUAACGUUAAAAUCAGAGUUCGUAUGUGAAAGUUAUGGCUGUUUUACGAACGGACUCCGAGUUAGAGGACAAAAUGGUCCGAAAGUGGG
rnacentral:lncRNA from 1 species